CGAGCACGUAGAGGAAAAAAUACUAACCGAGCUCUCCUCUCCUCUCCUCUGUUCCCAAAAAUGGCGACAAACACAAUGACAAUCUUCUCAACCUCAACCUCAAUUUCUUGUUCAUCGUUCUUCCUAUGCUCUUCUCCUCUAAAUACUUCUCUUCUUCUUGGUUCACAACCGACUCCCUUCAAAUCCACAAAAUCUCACUUCAAUUUGAGAUUAAAUCGAUUCAGAAAUCCUUCUACUGUUCCUGUUGUAAAAGCACAAGCCACCCCAGACUCCAGAUUUUACAAGAUUGAGAAAGAGAUUUGCACAGGUUUCAUCGGUUGUGCUGAAAAUGGAAAUUCUCGGUGUUGCAAUUUCUGACUUGCGAGAUUUGGUGCCCAGAGUGGGUCAAUAGAGAGACAUGCUGGUUCUGAAGACAACUUCGUAGCAAAAGUUAAGCCGGAGCCUGUAGUCAGCAAAGAACAGGUUGGUGAGGCACCAAGUGAGUUUCCAUUCAAGAUUGUGGAUAAUGAUGGAGCUGAAACUAUUACACUGACUAGGAACUAUCAAGGUGAGGAGAUCAAAGUCACAGUGUUCAAGCAUGAUCUCUCUGGUGAUUAUGAAGAGGGUGAUGAGGAAGACCAAGACGACCAGGAAGCAAAUCAAGGUGGUGAGGAGGUGGAAGAAGAAGCUGGUUCUCAGCCUGUUGAUAUGGUUGUAACUGUUACGAAAAAAACCGGUCCAACUUUGGAAUUCGAUGUUAUGGUUGAGGCAGAUGAAAUUACAAUCAACAAUUUGGCUGUCAAGAAUCCAAAUGUUUCGGAUGAGGAUAUUGCUUACGAAGGACCUGAGUUCUCGAGUUUGGAUGCGGAACUGCAGGAAGCUUUCCACACAUAUUUGGAAGUCAGAGGGAUUAAACCAAGCAUUGCCAAUUUCUUACAUGA